rnacentral:rRNA from 1 species
CCUACGGGGGGCUGCAGUGGGGAAUAUUGCACAAUGGGCGCAAGCCUGAUGCAGCCAUGCCGCGUGUGUGAAGAAGGCCUUCGGGUUGUAAAGCACUUUCAGCGGGGAGGAAGGCGUUAAGGUUAAUAACCUUGGCGAUUGACGUUACCCGCAGAAGAAGCACCGGCUAACUCCGUGCCAGCAGCCGCGGUAAUACGGAGGGUGCAAGCGUUAAUCGGAAUUACUGGGCGUAAAGCGCACGCAGGCGGUCUGUCAAGUCGGAUGUGAAAUCCCCGGGCUCAACCUGGGAACUGCAUUCGAAACUGGCAGGCUAGAGUCUUGUAGAGGGGGGUAGAAUUCCAGGUGUAGCGGUGAAAUGCGUAGAGAUCUGGAGGAAUACCGGUGGCGAAGGCGGCCCCCUGGACAAAAACUGACGCUCAGGUGCGAAAGCGUGGGGAGCAAACAGGAUUAGAUACCCUAGUAGUC